UCAAACCAGACAAUGUAUGAACAUCCAAAUCCUUUGUUAAACUUUAUCAAUAAUUCAGCUUUAAAAUAAUAUGUUACCUGAAGACAAAGACAACUUCACUACCAAAGAUUCAGUUUAUAACAAACUAGUGGUGUUAAUCCCCUAAUGCAUAACCUAUUUUCUUUUAUCCAAAUCAGACCUACAACAAAAACCACUUGGACAGGGUACAAUGUUACUGUGGCCCAAGUGCAAAGUGCUCUCUCUUUUGAGAUAAAUCCCACAAGACACGUCUACCCAUUUCUCAAUAAGAAAUCUUUCCAUUUAUGUGUAGAUGGAAGUGUAACAAAGAAAUGUGGAGACAGCAGGCAAUUGAUGCAAAGAUGGUAAGAUAUCACUAUUUUUUCCAAAACAAAAGCUCUAUCAAUGCAGAUCUGAGCCCAGAGGCAAAAUGAAAACCACAACCUGCUUGAAGUCCUCUGCCAACACACAAUAACCAGAGAAAAUACUAAAUGAAGUAACCAGUCAGAAAGCAAAAACUGCAACUCAUUAAAAUCCAGAUGAAACUGACCAACUGGUUUAAAAGCAGCCAAGAGAAAGUCUGCAGAUUCUGGAAAUCCAAAUCAACACAUACAAAAUACUGGAGGAACUCAGCAGGCCAAGCAACAUCUAUGGAAGAGAGUACAGUCAAUGUUUCAGGCAGAAACCAUUCAUCUGGCCAUUCAGUACCAAUAAUGUAAUUCUUCAUGACCAAGGUUCAACUGCACACCAUCAAGACAAAAGUAUUUUCCUAUGAUCGUGUGAUCAAAUACAAAUGACAACUGUGCAGAUAAGGCUACAAGCAACACUGACACUGCCUAUAAUGCGUAAGAUUCAAUAGAAAUGGCCUAACCACACUCCAACAAUAUAGCCAAAUGACCUUUAAAAGAUUCACAGUGCAUUGCUGAUUCUGCCAAAGCUAGCAUUCUGUUUUGAUUCCCAUGUGUCUGUGAAAUUAUGGUAGUAGAUUGUAGAAUACUUCCACUAAGCCUGAACUUUUCUGAAUGCAUUUUUAAGUGAAGAUUUCUAGGAGUUGGGCCUGUUGAUAAUGAAAAGUUCCUGGGGCAGAGGAGAAGGUGUUUUGGAAGGAAUGAUGGAGAUCAUGAUGAUCUCUUGCACAAGCUGGUUGUAUCUUUCUUGGUGAUGGGAAUUACGGAUCUAGGUAGUACCACCAAAAAUGCCUUGCCAACUGCUGCAAAGUACUGAUUUUCAAUACUGAAGUUAUCAAAAAUAAUUCAGGUUUUGGAAAUCUGAAAUAAAAAGCAUACUGGAAUACAAUGCAUGAAAAGAGUUCACUCUUUGGGUCAAGCAGGAGGAAGAAAGAGAGAAGGAUAAAUGAUGAAUACCUCUGGUGGUAUGCCACAAAGAGCAACAUGCACAAAUAUAGAGUUUUCAAACACAGUAAAAAGUCCCACAAAGUGAGUUGAAUCAAAAUUUGCCAGCAAGCCAUUAAAAAAAUCAUUUGGUCAUGACUAGAAAGGUUAGUCAAAGAAAUAGGUUUCAAGGAUGUGGAACAUUAA